GUAACCGGGAUGCACUCCAAACCCCUGUGACAUACCUAUACGUUGCCUCGGCGGAUCAGCCCGCGCCCCGUAAAACGGGACGGCCCGCCCGAGGACCCCUAAACUCUGUUUUUAGUGGAACUUCUGAGUAAAACAAACAAAUAAAUCAAAACUUUCAACAACGGAUCUCUUGGUUCUGGCAUCGAUGAAGAACGCAGCAAAAUGCGAUAAGUAAUGUGAAUUGCAGAAUUCAGUGAAUCAUCGAAUCUUUGAACGCACAUUGCGCCCGCCAGUAUUCUGGCGGGCAUGCCUGUUCGAGCGUCAUUUCAACCCUCAAGCUCAGCUUGGUGUUGGGACUCGCGGUAACCCGCGUUCCCCAAAUCGAUUGGCGGUCACGUCGAGCUUCCAUAGCGUAGUAAUCAUACACCUCGUUACUGGUAAUCGUCGCGGCCACGCCGUUAAACCCCAACUUCUGAAUGUUGACCUCGGAUCAGGUAGGAAUACCCGCUGAACUUAAGCAUAUCAAUAGGGCGGGAGGAAACUUAGUGUCGGUGCUUCCUUUGAGGAU
rnacentral:rRNA from 2 species